UUUAUAAUCUAAAUUAAAACUUUUAUUUCUUAUUUUAUUCAAUUACAUAAAUGGAAGAAGGAUUAUAUUUAAAUUUUUGUUGCUCUUACCUUUUGUAUAAUGGUUGAACUAAAAUAUAGUUUUUUUACUACACCCGAAUUAAGAAGAGCUAAUUAUUAACUUUUAUUAGGAUUUUAUAGCUUAUGUAGAAAUAUGGGCUUUAGAUUAGUAAUUAGGGGUGAAAUUCCUUCAAUUCUUAGGAUAUCUGGAAGUUUAAGAAAAGCAUUUAGUGCUGUGAAGUUAGAUACAAAGUGGUUAGAUUUUGUAUUUUUAGGAUUAGAAAUUACAUUAAUUUAUUUUCUAGGGUUAAACUCCAAGAUUAUUAACAACAAAUAUAUUUAUUUUUAUUUUUAUCUUGUCUAUAUUAAACUUUUCUUUUUAAUUUACUUAAGAAUUAAUAAUGUUUAAAUUAGUAAUAAUUUUUUUAUCUUUUAUAUCGUAUUUAUAAAAUUUUUGGUAUUUAAAAUAAUUAUAAGGAACUCGGCAAAAAUAGGCUUGGACUGUUUAACAAAAACAUAGCCAGGGGAAGAUAUUCUUGGUUUAACCUGCCCAAUGUAUUAAUAUGAAUGGCCGCGGUACUUUGACCGUGCUAAGGUAGCGUAAUCAGUUGGCUUUUAAAUGGAGUCGGGUAUGAAUGGGAGAACCGGGCUUAGCUGUCUCAUAAUUAUUUAUUUGAAUUUACUGUUUAGGUGAAAAAGCCUAAAUAUAGAAAAGGGACGAGAAGACCCUUAGAAUUUUAUUUAAAGUUGAUGUUUAUCUACUGUGAUUUUGUUGGGGCGACAGAGAAAUAUUUAUAACUUUCUUUAAAUUAAUCAGUCGGAUAUUUCAGGUUAGUAAAAAUUACCUAAGGGAUAACAGCAUAAUUUUAUUGUUAA
rnacentral:rRNA from 1 species